UAAAUGACAAAGUUUAUGUUGACUUUUCAUUUGAGUCAUGUCGUUAAGUAGGUUAAUAUAAUUAUUUCCCGGCGUUAAGUUCUCGUUUAUCUCCUCUAUUAGAACAAAACAACAUUGUUUAUUGCAUCUCGUUUUGUCUGUUGAAACAAAUUUAAACCCUAAAUCCCCAAAUCGAUUUCAUUAUCUGCGAUUUUGAGGUCAGGUGGGUUUGUGAUUUUGAGAUAAUGAAAUCGAUAUAGGGAUUUAAGGUUUAUAUUUGUUUCAAGAGACAAAACGACGUCGUUUUGUGUCUUCAAUAAACGACAUUGUUUGUUCUAACAGAUCAAAUAAACAAGUCAUUAAAGCCGUAAAAAAAAUUAUAUUAACCUAUUUAACGAUAGGACUCAAAUGGCAAGUCAACAAAAACUUUGUCAUUUA
rnacentral:pre_miRNA from 1 species